UCCCCGAUAGCUCAAUUGGUAGAGCGAGCGGCUGUUAACCGCUAGGUCGUAGGUUCGAGCCCUACUCGGGGAG
rnacentral:tRNA from 3 species